AGCUUCUUAGCGCAGUAGGUAGCGCGUUGGGCUCAUAACCCAAAGGUCGUCGGAUCGAAACCGACAGAAGCUA